rnacentral:lncRNA from 1 species
CAGAUGCAUUGCAAUACACCAGAAAUAAUGGCGGGUACAGAUCUGAACACCCCACAGUGCUUCCUUGGUGGUCAGUGGACCUGCUAUUUGCUCAUAAAGGGUGAACUACUAAGAGUUUGAAAUGCUGAGGACAAAAGGUAUGCCUAGAUGUGCCUCGGACAUCAUGCACAGCACAGUGGACCAGGAAAUGAUCAGACAUAACAGCAUUUCAUUGAGAUGGCUGAUACACCUUGUCAUUCCCUUGACACUUAUUUUUCACUCUGUUUUCUGAAAA